AUUGAACGCUGGCGGCAGGCCUAACACAUGCAAGUCGAAUGGUAACAGGAAACAGCUUGCUGUUUCGCUGACGAGUGGCGGACGGGUGAGUAAUGUCUGGGAAACUGCCUGAUGGAGGGGGAUAACUACUGGAAACGGUAGCUAAUACCGCAUAACGUCGCAAGACCAAAGAGGGGGACCUUCGGGCCUCUUGCCACCAGAUGUGCCCAGAUGGGAUUAGCUAGUAGGUGGGGUAACGGCUCACCUAGGCGACGAUCCCUAGCUGGUCUGAGAGGAUGACCAGCCACACUGGAACUGAGACACGGUCCAGACUCCUACGGGAGGCAGCAGUGGGGAAUAUUGCACAAUGGGCGCAAGCCUGAUGCAGCCAUGCCGCGUGUAUGAAGAAGGCCUUCGGGUUGUAAAGUAC
rnacentral:rRNA from 1 species